AGGUUAUGACCAAAAAUGUUAAUCAGACGAAAUGGAAGAAGAAGAUGAAUGCACACUUCAAUACUUUUCUGCAGAUGUUGAUAAUAUAGAUUGUCCAAACUGGAUCAAUUUCGAAGAAGAAUGCUAUGAAGACAGGGAAGCUGACGUUAGGUGGUUUGCUUCAUUGCAACCCCAUCUUCGAACUCCAGAGUGCAUCAUAAGGUCAGAACAGCUGGAAUCUCUAGAAACGUCUCCUGUUUUGGAUAUUUCAAAAACUCCUAAUGUCAAACAGAGAAGUAGACCCAAAACAAUGGUCAAUGGUAAACCUCCCAAACUUUUAUCUAACAAACUUCAGUUCUCUUCUAGUGAUGAUGACGAGAUCUGUGAAAUGCUACGUGCACACAACAAGCGAAUUCAGCAUAAAACUAUCAAAUUGCCUGCUUCAAACGAAUCUACCAAAUCAGCUUUAGAGCAAUCAAAACCAAAAGUUGAAAAUGAGAAAGCCACUUUCAAAGAUGUUCCAAAAAUUGCUUCAAAAACUGCUAAACGAAGAAGCUGUGCUCCAUUACUUAUGAAAAACAAAUCGUCAAAGUACACAAGUGGCUUUCCAAGUUCUAUUACUCUACCUGGGACUGUAUCUGAGUCUAGCAAAGUGAAUGUUGUGAGAGUGCCUGACAGUUCGGUCAUUUCUUCUCAAUCAAAUGAACUCAAAGUCUCUAACUCUAUCUCAGAGUCUAGCAAAGUGAAUGCUGCGAGAGUGCCUAAUAGUUCAGUCGUUUCUUCACAAUCAAAUGAACUCAAAGUCUCUAACUCUAUCUCAGAGUCUAGCAAAGUGAAUGCUGUGAGAGUGCCUCACAGUUCGGUCGUAUCUCCUCGAUCGAAUGAACUCAAAGUAACAGACACUAUUCCAGAGUCUAGCAAAGUGAAUGCUGUUGAAAUACCUCUCAGUUCAGCCAUUUCUCCCCAAUCAUUUGAACUGAAAGUUUCUAAACAUCCAAAAAAUUCUGAUCCUUUUGAAAAUCGUGUUUCAAAAUAUUCAUCGUCAGGUAAAGUUUUCAAACCUCAUUCUCAAUUUCAACCAGGGGCAGGAAAUCCAAGGAAACCUGCUCCAACAAAGUCAUCAAGCUCGACAGUUUCAAAGAACCCUGUUGUUCAUAAAUCUGUGGUUCAAAAACCUGUUGUUCAUAAAUCUGUGGUUCAAAAACCUGUUCUUCGUAAUGCUGAUAAAAUUACCUCAAAAUCCAAAGCUCCCGGAAAAAAUCUGUCAUCACAGAAAAACUCUGCAAAACCUACAAAAAAUACAGUCGCCAGUAAACCUAUCAUAAAAUCGAAAGCUGCUGCGUCGAAACGUCCUCAGUCUUCAAGUUCAUUAGCAAACAAAGUUUCUUCAGUAUCUUCAAAAACACAAACCAGCACAAAGAACCCCUUACCUAACAAGAAAGUUCCUCCUACUAAAGAAUCAGGUAGGAUGAAGCCUCUCCGUCAAACACAAAAUCGAUCUGAUGGUCCAUUUGGAGCGAGCAGUAACGUCAUGUCUAUAAUAAACUCUAAAACGCCUGGUAAGGGUAAGCUGAAAUCAAGAGCAAGUGAACUUAAACCUCGGUAUUCUGUCGAAACACCCUCUCCUCCAAGAACCGCUACUUGUGAGUCCUCAGAUGAUGAGGAUCUAGAUGAUUUCAUCAGAACACGGCUGAAAGCUCACAACGCUAAAGUUGAAGCUAAGAAGGUUUCAAAUAACAGAGUAGCCGGAAAAUCCACAAAAACUGGAAGGCAAGUUUCACUACAUUUAGGAUCUCCGUCAAAACCUAAAAUGAAACCAGUAAGACACAAGGAUUAAGGUUUAUGAAGUGUUUUUUAUACUGCAAAUGAGUUAUAUGAUUUGUGAUCACAAUGCCUACUUCGGAGAGUCAUUUUACUUUGACAAGAUAAUAUGAUGUAAGUAAAGUGUGCCUAAAAGGUCUAGUAGUGAUAUUCGUCCUGAUGAUAUUAAAAUGGAGAAACAAGUCGAACUGUUUAUAAUAUACCCCAGAGGUGUAUAAAACCGUUUUACCUGUCCACUGUUGACCUGAUCUGCAGUUCUAGCUGUCAGUUUUUAAAAUUGGCGUUUACCGUUAUCUUAUUUUCUAUGCACUGUUGGCAAUUACUAAAUGUAGUAGUAAAUCUUUCAAAGUACGAAAUAUCUCUUUAAAAGAGCAUCCUAGGCACCUUAUAGAUAUCAAAACGCAUAAAAAAGAAAACAAAAACAUCAACCAUCUUCUAACUUCUUCCAUUCCUCCCUAUCUAAAGCCAAAAAUCUAAGGUCUUCGAAAUCAGUCAAAUUCUUAAGUCUAAUAUCAAGAUUUCUACUAGUCAAGUCUUUUCUAAUAACAUCUAAUAAGUUUAAACAUGUUCUACCCCGUCUCCCUUCCAUAAAAAUAUCAGAAUUUAUAGCAAAUAACAUAGAGGUGUAUGCUGGUGAGUCUUCCUGUCCUCUUAAGAUAUGUCCUAACAUUCUCCAUCGAAACUUAGAGACUCUCACAGACUUAAGGGAGUGACAUAACAACGAGCAUAGAGUGCCUCAUUAGAAAUAACCCCAGUAGGCCAUCUGAUGUUGAGGAUUCUUCGGAGGUGUUUGCGAUGAGCAAUAUCAAGUUCAUUCAACGAAGCUAGUGGUGCAGCCCAGGAGUUGCAGUUGUAGAGUAGAAUAGAGACUACUUGUGCC